CUCCUCAAAUGCAGCUGUAGUAUUUUCCCUAUUUUACUGAAAUAUCUUUUGUUUUUCAAGAAAUUGCAUAAAGGAGGCGUUUUGGGAAGACAGAUGGGAGAAGAGAACCAGAGCCACUACCAGAACAUGACCUAAAUCAGGACAAACAUUGGAAGACUGUCAGAUGUUUAAAAAAAACAAGAAGGCUGGAUUUGACUCUGCAAGUAGCUUCUAGUAACCAGGGUGUUUCACAGUGCUGUAACAAGGACAAAGGAGACACAGUACAAGACCAAAUUAAGAUGCAGUCAAUUCGUCUGUGUGAUAAUCUUUGCAACUGGGAAAGGAAGAUUAAGACAUAAAGUCGUUGUCUUCAUGGAAAAGCAAAAAAAUCCAAACUCAACAAAUGUCAAGCAAUGAAAAUGCCUCAAGUACAUCAAAUACCAGCCCAUUAUACAGAUUAAUGAAAGAAACUGAGCUGCAAUGUGCACAGGUAUUAAAUAUUUAAUUCCAUUUCUGCUCUCUGAGUCUGAAGCA
rnacentral:lncRNA from 12 species